GACGAACGCUGGCGGCGUGCUUAACACAUGCAAGUCGAACGGAAAGGCCCUGCUUUUGUGGGGUGCUCGAGUGGCGAACGGGUGAGUAACACGUGAGUAACCUGCCCUUGACUUUGGGAUAACUUCAGGAAACUGGGGCUAAUACCGGAUAGGAGCUCCUGCUGCAUGGUGGGGGUUGGAAAGUUUCGGCGGUUGGGGAUGGACUCGCGGCUUAUCAGCUUGUUGGUGGGGUAGUGGCUUACCAAGGCUUUGACGGGUAGCCGGCCUGAGGGGGUGACCGGCCACAUUGGGACUGAGAUACGGCCCAGACUCCUACGGGAGGCAGCAGUGGGGAAUAUUGCACAAUGAGCGGAAGCCUGAUGCAGCAACGCCGCGUGCGGGAUGACGGCCUUCGGGUUGUAAACCGCUUUCGCCUGUGACGAAGCGUGAGUGGCGGUAAUGGGUAAAGAAGCACCGGCUAACUACGUG
rnacentral:rRNA from 1 species